CAUAACUGGAUUCAGAAGUGGGACCUGAAGCAAGAUCACCUUCAGUGGGCAUCUGCGAUUCUUGAGACUGGUGUUCAGUACUCGCUUGAGCCCUCUGAACUCUGGUCUAAGGACUCACCAGGAGUCGCAGACUGGAUGAUAAGAGACUUUUUGGCAUUUCUGACAAGCCUUUUCUGGUACAAAGACAUUCAUCUCUAUGGCCAGGAGUUCUAAACAAGAGAUCAAAGGUAGAGUCCCCUUGGGACGGAAGGGUGGGGCCCAGAGAGCCGUGGGGAGAAGACAUAGUGUCCUCUGGAAUCUGGGUAACAAGCUCUGAGGGGCCAGAGCUAAAAGGACACUCUUUCCUCCUCUGAGACACUUAGGGUGGGGGGCACAAGGUCUUGGACUCUGGGGUUUCUCAGGCUGGAGUUUCGAAGGGGUUGCAUAAGAAAGAAGAAGCCUGAGGCAGUGGGGCCUGUUGCAGAGCUGGGCGGCAUCCCCAAGGCUGAGUCCUUCCUGGCUCUGCAGGUGGAGACACAGGUGAACACCAGGACACCACAGGGAAGUCCCAGCCCGGGGAGGGCAGGAGAACGGGAAAAUCACACCCGACUGAGCCCCGCCCCCCAGCUCUUACCCUCUGUAGGGGCCCACCCUGUGCUGGGCACUUUGUGAGAGAUGCAAUUCCAUCCCACAACUCACUCUGCCCUGCAGGAUCACCAAGGUUCAGACGCCUGGGUUCAGAUCCUCACUCCGGCCAAGAGGAGUUAAAACUCUGUGUGCCUCAGUUUCCUUCUAUAUUAAGUGCAGACAAUAAUCCAGGCAGGGAGGCUCAUGGUGCUCUCUCCAGUGUCAGCUCCAGAGGAGGCUGAGGGAGAACUCCUCACCCAGCGCAGCCUGUGGGUUCUGUAGAGAGGCUCGCUGCGCUGCCUUGCACACAGGCCACCCCCACGCACUCUCAGGGCUUCUCGUGCUCAUGGGCCAGUCUCGGGGGGUGUGGGGAUGCUCAGUGCCUGUGUCCAGGAACCCCCAUUCCCAGAAAUCAGCCUGGGGCUCCUCCAGCUCCUGUCAAGGUGUUUGUCUCCAGUGAGUCCGAUCUCACCCGAGGGUCUCGCUGUUCUUCCCUGGAUGGGCUCAGUCCAGCAGAACCAGCCUGCGCUGUUCCGCCAUGUGGGAGUGUGGGAGGAAGGAAGCCCCGUGGCCGUCCAAGAUCCGGGUUCCUCUCUCCUUGACACGCCCUCUGAGAAGUGAGGAGAGGAGUCAAGGAAUUCGUACACGCUAGGGGCCUGGAACCGUGCCCGACCCUUGGAAGAUGCCCAGUAAUUGCCAGCUGCCUGAAGUCACCAGGCUUGUGUCUACCAAGACCCUGGCCUGGGAAUCUCUCACCAGGAGCUGGAAUCCUCGCUGCUCUGGCUCCAUAGCCCAUUUGUGUGGGCACUUAGGGUGGUGACACCAGCUGCCAAGCGCCACCCGAGGGCUCCUGGGUGUGACUGGGAAGGACUGGUUCUCUCCACCCCAGUGAGGGGUCCUUGUUUCAGGAUAAAGAGAGUUAGACCCCCUCAUUCUCACUACAUCUGCUUCUGUUUCAUGUAACACACACAGUCACAGACACACACCGACUCAGAGACACACAAUCACAGAAACACACACACACACAGACGCACUCACAGCCGCAGACACAUCUUCAGUCUAGAUAGAAACACCUAGACACAUAGACACAUCUAGACUCAGACACACGCUCACACAAACAGAGAAACAUCGCACACACAGCCUCACCCACAACCACCUACAAGCACACAGGAACACCUAGGGACCCUGACACACAUAGACUCAGACACACAGACACACAGACUUAGACUCACAUUGA